UAUACCGUGAAACUGCGAAUGGCUCAUUAAAUCAGUUAUCGUUUAUUUGAUAGUACCUUACUACUUGGAUAACCGUGGUAAUUCUAGAGCUAAUACAUGCUAAAAACCCCGACUUCGGAAGGGGUGUAUUUAUUAGAUAAAAAACCAACGCCCUUCGGGGCUUCUUGGUGAUUCAUGAUAACUUUACGGAUCGCAUGGCCUUGCGCCGGCGACGGUUCAUUCAAAUUUCUGCCCUAUCAACUUUCGAUGGUAAGGUAUUGGCUUACCAUGGUUUCAACGGGUAACGGGGAAUUAGGGUUCGAUUCCGGAGAGGGAGCCUGAGAAACGGCUACCACAUCCAAGGAAGGCAGCAGGCGCGCAAAUUACCCAAUCCCGACACGGGGAGGUAGUGACAAUAAAUACUGAUACAGGGCUCUUUUGGGUCUUGUAAUUGGAAUGAGUACAAUUUAAACCUCUUAACGAGGAACAAUUGGAGGGCAAGUCUGGUGCCAGCAGCCGCGGUAAUUCCAGCUCCAAUAGCGUAUAUUAAAGUUGUUGCAGUUAAAAAGCUCGUAGUUGAAACUUGGGUCUGGCUGGCAGGUCCGCCUCACCGCGUGUACUUGUCCGGCCGGGCCUUCCUUCUGGAGAACCUCAUGCCCUUCACUGGGCGUGUUGGGGACCAGGACUUUUACUUUGAAAAAAUUAGAGUGUUCAAAGCAGGCCUUUGCUCGAAUACGUUAGCAUGGAAUAAUAGAAUAGGACGUGCGGUCCUAUUUUGUUGGUUUCUAGGACCGCCGUAAUGAUUAAUAGGGACAGUCGGGGGCAUCAGUAUUCAAUUGUCAGAGGUGAAAUUCUUGGAUUUAUUGAAGACUAACUACUGCGAAAGCAUUUGCCAAGGAUGUUUUCAUUAAUCAGUGAACGAAAGUUAGGGGAUCGAAGACGAUCAGAUACCGUCGUAGUCUUAACCGUAAACUAUGCCGACUAGGGAUCGGGCGAUGUUCUUUUUCUGACUCGCUCGG
rnacentral:rRNA from 1 species